GGUGAACGCUGGCGAUGUGCCUAAGACAUGCAAGUCGAACGCCCCGCAAGGGGAGUGGCAGACGGGUGAGUAACGCGUGGGAAUCUACCGUACCCUACGGAACAACAGUGGGAAACGACUGCUAAUACCGUAUACGCCCCACGGGGGAAAGAUUUAUCGGGGUAUGAUGAGCCCGCGUUGGAUUAGCUAGUUGGUGGGGUAAAGGCCUACCAAGGCGACGAUCCAUAGCUGGUCUGAGAGGAUGAUCAGCCACAUUGGGACUGAGACACGGCCCAAACUCCUACGGGAGGCAGCAGUGGGGAAUAUUGGACAAUGGGCGCAAGCCUGAUCCAGCCAUGCCGCGUGAGUGAUGAAGGUCUUAGGAUUGUAAAGCUCUUUCACCGAUGAAGAUAAUGACGGUAGUCGGAGAAGAAGCCCCGGCUAACUUCGUGCCAGCCGCCGCAGUAA
rnacentral:rRNA from 1 species